CGAGCGGUAACAUUUCUAGCUUGCUAGAAGAUGACGAGCGGCGGACGGGUGAGUAACGCGUAGGAAUCUGCCUAGUAGUGGGGGACAACAUGUGGAAACGCAUGCUAAUACCGCAUACGCCCUACGGGGGAAAGGAGGGGAUCUUCGGACCUUUCGCUAUUAGAUGAGCCUGCGUGAGAUUAGCUAGUUGGUGGGGUAAAGGCCUACCAAGGCGACGAUCUCUAGCUGGUCUGAGAGGAUGAUCAGCCACACUGGGACUGAGACACGGCCCAGACUCCUACGGGAGGCAGCAGUGGGGAAUAUUGGACAAUGGGCGCAAGCCUGAUCCAGCCAUGCCGCGUGUGUGAAGAAGGCCUUAGGGUUGUAAAGCACUUUCAGGAGUGAGGAAGGGUGUACGGUUAAUACCCGUAUAUUUUGACGUUAACUCCAGAAGAAGCACCGGCUAACUCUGUGCCAGCAGCCGCGGUAAUACAGAGGGUGCGAGCGUUAAUCGGAAUUACUGGGCGUAAAGCGCGCGUAGGCGGUUUGUUAAGUCGGAUGUGAAAUCCCAGGGCUCAACCUUGGAAUGGCACCCGAUACUGGCAGGCUAGAGUACGGUAGAGGGGUGUGGAAUUUCCUGUGUAGCGGUGAAAUGCGUAGAUAUAGGAAGGAACAUCAGUGGCGAAGGCGACA
rnacentral:rRNA from 1 species